rnacentral:rRNA from 1 species
CCUACGGGGGGCUGCAGUCGAGAAUCAUUCACAAUGGGGGAAACCCUGAUGGUGCGACGCCGCGUGGGGGAAUGAAGGUCUUCGGAUUGUAAACCCCUGUCAUGUGGGAGCAAAUUAAAAAGAUAGUACCACACGAGGAAGAGACGGCUAACUCUGUGCCAGCAGCCGCGGUAAUACAGAGGUCUCAAGCGUUGUUCGGAAUCACUGGGCGUAAAGCGUGCGUAGGCUGUUUCGUAAGUCGUGUGUGAAAGGCGCGGGCUCAACCCGCGGACGGCACAUGAUACUGCGAGACUAGAGUAAUGGAGGGGGAACCGGAAUGCUCGGUGUAGCAGUGAAAUGCGUAGAUAUCGAGAGGAACACUCGGGGCGAAGGCGGGUUCCUGGACAUUAACUGACGCUGAGGCACGAAGGCCAGGGGAGCGAAAGGGAUUAGAUACCCGAGUAGUC